AAAGGAAUUGACGGGGGCUCACACAAGCGGUGGAGCAUGUUGUUUAAUUCGAAGCAACGCGAAGAACCUUACCUGGCCUUGACAUGCUAGAAGUACGAACCUGAAAGGGAGAGGACCGGUAUCCAAUCCGGAACUAGCACAGGUGCUGCAUGGCUGUCGUCAGCUCGUGUCGUGAGACGUUGGGUUAAGUCCCGUAACGAGCGAAACCCUUAUCGUCUGUUGCUACCAGGUUAUGCUGGGCACUCUGGCGAGACUGCCGGUGUUAAACCGGAGGAAGGCGGGGACGACGUCAAGUCAUCAUGGUCCUUACGGCCAGGGCUACAAACGUGCUACAAUGGCAGGUACAGAGAGACGCGAUACCGCGAGGUGGAGCAAAUCUUCAAAGCCUGUCCCAGUUCGGAUUGAAGGCUGCAAUUCGCCUUCAUGAAGUUGGAAUCGCUAGUAAUCGCGGAUCAGCUACGCCGCGGUGAAUACGUUCCUGAGCCUUGUACACACCGCCCGU
rnacentral:rRNA from 1 species